rnacentral:rRNA from 1 species
CCUACGGGAGGCAGCAGUGAGGAAUAUUGGUCAAUGGGCUUACGCCUGAACCAGCCAAGUCGCGUGAAGGAUGACUGCCCUAUGGGUUGUAAACUUCUUUUAUAUGGGAAUAAAACGUUCCACGUGUGGGAUUUUGUAUGUACCAUAUGAAUAAGGAUCGGCUAACUCCGUGCCAGCAGCCGCGGUAAUACGGAGGAUCCGAGCGUUAUCCGGAUUUAUUGGGUUUAAAGGGAGCGUAGAUGGGUUGUUAAGUCAGUUGUGAAAGUUUGCGGCUCAACCGUAAAAUUGCAAUUUAUACUUGCAGUUUUGAGUACAGGUGAGGUAAGCGGAAUUCGUGGUGUAGCCGGGAAAUGCUUUG